rnacentral:rRNA from 1 species
AAUGAACGCUGGCGGCGUGCUUAACACAUGCAAGUCGCACGAGAACGCUUCAGCUUGCUGAGGCAAGUAAAGUGGCGCACGGGUGAGUAACGCGUGGGUAAUCUACCUCCGAAUUGGGGAUAACAUUGCGAAAGCGGGGCUAAUACCGAAUAAUAUCCCUGAGACUCCGUUCUUGGUUAUCAAAGGCGGCCUCUACAUGUAAGCUACUGUUGGGAGAUGAGCCCGCGUACCAUUAGCUUGUUGGUAGGGUAACGGCUUACCAAGGCUGCGAUGGUUAGCUGGUCUGAGAGGAUGAUCAGCCACAAUGGAACUGACACACGGUCCAGACUCCUACGGGAGGCAGCAGUGAGGAAUUUUGCGCAAUGGGGGAAACCCCGACGCAGCAACGCCGCGUGAGUGAUGAAGGCCUUCGGGUCGUAAAGCUCUGUCAAGUGGGAAGAAUCUGUCUGGUGAUAAUACCAUCGGACACUGACGGUACCACUGAAGGAAGCACCGCCUAACUCCGUGCCAGCAGCCGCAGUAAAAC